CUUCAGAGAACUGAGUCCUAAGAGCUAGGGUGGCUAUGAGGAGCUGUCUCUGAGCUCGGGUGACAACAGCUCAAUGAAGCCCCCAGCCAGUUUCCUCUGAGGAGAGGCACCAUAGGAAGAAGGACCAUGAGAGGUCUUCUAAAGCUCAGGACCAGGGAGAAACUGGUUGCCUGGACCUAAGAGUGCUUCCAUUGGUGCCAAUGGGAUAGAAGUAAAACCUGUGGCAAUGGUCUUCACUAGAAGGACAGAACCAAGGGUGAUAAUAACCUGCCGCCUACAUACAGCACCUUCUCGAAAUCUCAAGGAGACAGGGAUAGAGAAACCAAACAAACUAACUAAAAUAAAAUAGAAC